rnacentral:rRNA from 1 species
GACGAACGCUGGCGGCGUGCCUAAUACAUGCAAGUAGAACGCUGAAGGAGGAGCUUGCUUCUCUGGAUGAGUUGCGAACGGGUGAGUAACGCGUAGGUAACCUGCCUGGUAGCGGGGGAUAACUAUUGGAAACGAUAGCUAAUACCGCAUAAUAUUGACUAUUGCAUGAUAGUCAGUUGAAAGGUGCAACUGCACCACUACCAGAUGGACCUGCGUUGUAUUAGCUAGUUGGUGGGGUAACGGCUCACCAAGGCGACGAUACAUAGCCGACCUGAGAGGGUGAUCGGCCACACUGGGACUGAGACACGGCCCAGACUCCUACGGGAGGCAGCAGUAGGGAAUCUUCGACAAUAGACGGAAGUCUGACCGAGCAACGCCGCGUGAGUGAAGAAGGUUUUCGGAUCGUAAAGCUCUGUUGUAAGAGAAGAACGAGUGUGAGAGUGGAAAGCUCACACUGUGACGGUAUCUUACCAGAAAGGGACGGCUAACUACGUG